rnacentral:rRNA from 1 species
GCAUAUCAAUAAGCGGAGGAAAAGAAACUAACAAGGAUUUCCUUAGUACGGCGAGCGAAUGGGAGAGCUCAAUUUUAAAUCUACCUGGUGUACCAGGUCGAGUUGUAAUUUGAAGAAGCGUUUUCAACGUUUUGAUCUGGUUGAAGUUCUUUGGAAUAAGACAUCAUGGAGGGUGGGAAUCCCGUACAUGAUCAGAUCGAGAUGUCUCAGAUACGCUCUCUAAGAGUCGAGUUGUUUGGGAAUGCAGCUCAAAAUGGGUGGUAGACUUCACCUAAGGCUAAAUAUCAGCGAGAGACCGAUAGCGAACAAGUACCGUGAGGGAAAGAUGAAAAGAACUUUGAAAAGAGAGUUAAAUAGUACGCGAAAUUGUUGAAAGGGAAACGAUUGAAGUCAGUCGUGCCGGUGAGAAAUCAACAUAACGAGUUUUGGGUUCGGAGUUGAGGUAGGGUCAAACCAUCUCUCUUUUAAACUCGGGGCUUGUUGCGUGUACUUUCUCUUUGGCAGGUCAACGUCGAUUUUGUGGGUUGUAAAAUAACUGGGGGAAUGUAGCUCCUUUCGGGGAGUGUUAUAGACCCUGGGGAUGCAACCUGCGGGAUUGAGGAUUGCAGCAAAUGCUUUUGGCUUGUCGCCUGUCCGUUAAAUGCUGCCUCGCUGGUGACAAUAUUUCUUGACACUUUGUGGGGUUAGGUGGUUACUGGUUAGAGCGAUCUGAAAUUCGUUAAGGAUGUUGACGUAAU